GACGAACGCUGGCGGCGUGCUUAACACAUGCAAGUCGAACGGAAAGGCCCAGCUUGCUGGGUACUCGAGUGGCGAACGGGUGAGUAACACGUGGGUGAUCUGCCCUGCACUCUGGGAUAAGCCUGGGAAACUGGGUCUAAUACCGGAUAUGACCGACUGUCGCAUGGUGGUUGGUGGAAAGCUUUUGCGGUGUGGGAUGGGCCCGCGGCCUAUCAGCUUGUUGGUGGGGUAAUGGCCUACCAAGGCGACGACGGGUAGCCGACCUGAGAGGGUGAUCGGCCACACUGGGACUGAGGCACGGCCCAGACUCCUACGGGAGGCAGCAGUGGGGAAUAUUGCACAAUGGGCGCAAGCCUGAUGCAGCGACGCCGCGUGAGGGAUGACGGCCUUCGGGUUGUAAACCUCUUUCACCAGGGACGAAGCGUGAGUGACGGUACCUGGAGAAGAAGCACCGGCCAACUACGUG
rnacentral:rRNA from 1 species